UACGGAGGGUGCAAGCGUUAAUCGGAAUUACUGGGCGUAAAGGGUGCGUAGGCGGUUGUUUAAGUCUGUCGUGAAAUCCCCGGGCUCAACCUGGGAGUGGCGAUGGAAACUGGGCAGCUAGAGUGUGUCAGAGGAUGGUGGAAUUCCCGGUGUAGCGGUGAAAUGCGUAGAGAUCGGGAGGAACAUCAGUGGCGAAGGCGGCCAUCUGGGACAACACUGACGCUGAAGCACGAAAGCGUGGGGAGCAAACAGG
rnacentral:rRNA from 1 species